rnacentral:misc_RNA from 1 species
CUGCUGCUGCUGCCGCCGCCGCUGCAGGAGGAGCUGGGGCAGGUGCCGCUGCAGGAGCCUCCGCUGGAGGAUUUGGAGGCAUUCACUAUCCAGUGUAUCCCAUUCCAGGACCAAUAUAUCCCCCAGGUCCUAUCUACCCACCAGGUCCUAUCUACCCACCAGGUCCCAUCUACCCACCAGGUCCCAUCUACCCACCUGGUCCCAUCUAUCCACCUGGUCCCAUCUAUCCACCCGGACCAAUCUAUCCUCCAGGUCCAAUUUAUCCUAAAGGCGGCUUCAUUGGUGUUGGAAACAUUGGUGGUGGCGCUGCUGCCGGAGCCGCAGCCGGUGCUUCCGGAUUCGGGGGAUCAAGUGCUGCUGCUGCUGCUGCCGCCGCUGCAGGUUCCGGUGCUGGUGGAUUUGGAGGUCAGAAUUUCGGAGGCCUGAUCUUUGGUGGUAGUUCCGGUGGCGGAUCCAUUGGUAUUAUCGGAGGUGGAUCUGGAGGAGGAAAGAGAAAGGUAUAUUAAUCUGUGAUGGAAACUUUUAAUCAAGACGGACAGCCCGUGGACUGAACUCUCUAUCUGCUUUUUAUAUGAAUAAAUUUUCAUAACUCUUU